rnacentral:rRNA from 1 species
UACAUAGGUCUCAAGCGUUGUUCGGAUUCAUUGGGCGUAAAGGGUGCGUAGGUGGCGGGGCAAGUCAGGUGUGAAAUCUCGGAGCUCAACUCCGAAACUGCACUUGAUACUGCCUUGCUGGAGUACUGGAGAGGAGAUUGGAAUUUACGGUGUAGCAGUGAAAUGCGUAGAUAUCGUAAGGAAGACCAGUGGCGAAGGCGAAUCUCUGGACAGUUACUGACACUGAGGCACGAAGGCCAGGGGAGCAAACGGG